CUCCUGUCCCUGUGAAGAGUGAAGAUGAUGAAGAGGAAGGGCUUGACCAGAGAUGGACUGAACACAUGGAAACAGAAGCUGAUGGAGAGGAAGCAGCCAGGAACUUCCUGCCACACCUACUGCUCCCCCCAGAGACUGGAGACAGUGUGGAUAGUGACUUCUGGAAGGAGAGCAGAGAACGUCUCGCAGCUUUGAACUCUCUGGAAGAUGAUUCAAGAUAUGUUGAGCAGCUGUUGGUGGUUAAAGAAGAGGUUCCC